UGCCCCGUGGCUGAGUUGGUCACAGCGUCCGACUGUUACAUCGUGUAGCACUUGUUUCACCGUUAAGUUCGUCGAUGGCAUCGGAAGGUCGUGAGUUCGAGCCUCACCGGGGCAG